GAAAUAUAGGUUAAAUAUAUAACCAUGGACCUUCAAAGCCCAAACUGCGAAUAUAUUCGCUAUUUCUG
rnacentral:tRNA from 1 species